UACACAUGCAAGUCGAGCGGUAAGGCCCUUCGGGGUACACGAGCGGCGAACGGGUGAGUAACACGUGGGUGAUCUGCCUUGCACUUCGGGAUAAGCCUGGGAAACUGGGUCUAAUACCGGAUAUGACCCUGGAAUGCAUGUUCUGGGGUGGAAAGAUUUAUCGGUGCGAGAUGGGCCCGCGGCCUAUCAGCUUGUUGGUGAGGUAACGGCUCACCAAGGCGACGACGGGUAGCCGACCUGAGAGGGUGACCGGCCACACUGGGACUGAGACACGGCCCAGACUCCUACGGGAGGCAGCAGUGGGGAAUAUUGCACAAUGGGCGAAAGCCUGAUGCAGCGACGCCGCGUGCGGGAUGACGGCCUUCGGGUUGUAAACCGCUUUUGACAGGGACGAAGCGCAAGUGACUGUACCUGUAGAAUAAGGACCGGCCAACUACGUGCCAGCAGCCGCGGUAAUACGUAGGGUCCGAGCGUUGUCCGGAAUUACUGGGCGUAAAGAGCUUGUAGGCGGUUCGUCGCGUCGUUUGUGAAAACUUGGGGCUCAACCUUAAGCUUGCAGGCGAUACGGGCGGACUAGAGUACUUCAGGGGAGACUGGAAUUCCUGGUGUAGCGGUGAAAUGCGCAGAUAUCAGGAGGAACACCGGUGGCGAAGGCGGGUCUCUGGGAAGUAACUGACGCUGAGAAGCGAAAGCAUGGGUAGCAAACAGGAUUAGAUACCCUGGUAGUCCAUGCCGUAAACGGUGGGUACUAGGUGUGGGGCUCCUUCCACGGACUCCGUGCCGUAGCUAACGCAUUAAGUACCCCGCCUGGGGAGUACGGCCGCAAGGCUAAAACUCAAAGAAAUUGACGGGGGCCCGCACAAGCGGCGGAGCAUGUGGAUUAAUUCGAUGCAACGCGAAGAACCUUACCUGGGUUUGACAUACACCGGAAACCUGCAGAGAUGUAGCCCCCUUGUGGUCGGUGUACAGGUGGUGCAUGGCUGUCGUCAGCUCGUGUCGUGAGAUGUUGGGUUUAAGUCCCGCAACGAGCGC
rnacentral:rRNA from 2 species